rnacentral:ncRNA from 1 species
ACGGGUCGUCAACUUCUUUUCUCGGAGAAGAAACAAUGACGGUAUCUGAGGAAUAAGCAUCGGCUAACUCUGUGCCAGCAGCCGCGGUAAGACAGAGGAUGCAAGCGUUAUCCGGAAUGAUUGGGCGUAAAGCGUCGGUAGGUGGCUUUUCAAGUCCGCCGUCAAAUCCCAGGGCUCAACCCUGGACAGGCGGUGGAAACUACCAAGCUGGA